GGCUGAGCACUGUUCGGUUCGAACCGAAUAAACCGACUGAACCGAUUUAAUUUAAUAAUUUGGUUCGGUUUUAAAAUAAAAUCGAUUCGGUUCGGUUUUAAUUUUUAAAAAUUUCGGGUUGGUCGGUUCGGUUCGGUUUUGGAGUCAAAAUAAUUCGGUCGAACCGAACCGACCGAUUUAAUUUUAAACGCAGCGUUUUAUUAUAGGUUAUAUCAAUUCACUUCCUAUCCCUCGACGUCAUUCUUCACGCGGCGCAUACCUUGUCUCUCUCAAACCAAAUCCCUAAUCUCCAUCCUUCGCGUCUUCAAUCCGUAGCCACAGCCACCCACCCCAGUCGCUAGUCCCACAGCCGCCCACCGGCCACCCACCCUGCCACCCUUCGCGUCUCUCUCUCACGGCCAUCGCUCGCGUCUCUCUCUCUCAUAGCCGUCGCUCGCGAGACUCUUUUCACUGCUGUAGAACAACACUCUAAAUACUCAAAGGAGGUUCAGUUGCUCAGUCUCACCGUGUUGGUAGAGUUAGCUCAGAAAUUAAUUGGCAUUUGAAGAAUGGAGAAAUUGAAGAAUAGAGGGUUGAUUGUUGGUGACAUAACUGUUGAUGGAUAUUUUGGAACUG